CCAAAGGCUCUUUUCAGAGCCCCUCAAUUCUCACCAAAAAGGAGCUG
rfam:Sus scrofa chromosome 7.